CUUAUUUCACACAUGUGUUAGGUGCUUAUUUCACACGUGUGUUAGGUGCUUAUUUCACACAUGUGUUAGGUGCUUAUUUCACACACAUGUGCUUGUUUGAAUUGGAAAUUUAUUUUUUCCUUUUCAUAUCCCAACUCCACCUGAGACACCCACGGAGAGGGUCAGCCAAUCUGGUCCCUUCAGCUCUGCUAAAACUGAAGCGGUAGCUAGACUCUCUACGAUACGUGUUGCUUUUGGAGUGACAUGUUGUGGUGCAACACUACCUGGUGAUGUUUUUAAUGGGGUAUCACAGGGUAAACUGUGCAACAUUACAUUGUGAUGUUUUUAAUGGGGUAUCACAGGGUAAACUGUGCAACACUACAUUGUCAUGUUUUUAAUGGGGUAUUACAAGGUAAACUGUGCAACACUACAUUGUCAUGUUUUUAAUGGGGUAUUACAAGGUAAACUGUGCAACACUACAUUGUCAUGUUUUUAAUGGGGUAUUACAAGGUAAACUGUGCAACAUUACAUUGUGAUGUUUUUAAUGGGGGAUCACAAGGUAAACUGUGCAACAUUACAUUGUGAUGUUUUUAAUGGGGCAUCACAGGGUAAACUGUGCAACAUUACAUUGUGAUGUUUUUAAUGGGGCAUCACAAGGUAAACUGUGCAACAUUACAUUGUGAUGUUUUUAAUGGGGCAUCACAGGGUAAACUGUGCAACACUACAUUGUGAUGUUUUUAAUGGGGCAUUACAAGGUAAACUGUGCAACACUACAUUGUCAUGUUUUUAAUGGGGCAUCACAAGGUAAACUGUGCAACACUACAUUGUGAUGUUUUUAAUGGGGCAUUACAAGGUAAACUGUGCAACACUACAUUGUGAUGUUUUUAAUGGGGGAUCACAAGGUAAACUGUGCAACACUACAUUGUGAUGUUUUUAAUGGGGCAUCACAAGGUAAACUGUGCAACACUACAUUGUCAUGUUUUUAAUGGGGGAUCACAAGGUAAACUGUGCAACAUUACAUUGUGAUGUUUUUAAUGGGGGAUCACAAGGUAAACUGUGCAACACUACAUUGUGAUGUUUUUAAUGGGGCAUCACAAGGUAAACUGUGCAACACUACAUUGUCAUGUUUUUAAUGGGGCAUCACAAGGUAAACUGUGCAACAUUACAUUGUCAUGUUUUUAAUGGGGGAUCACAAGGUAAACUGUUCAGCACAAUAGUAUUAUCUCUGCAUCAUUUCUGGGUGUCUACCCUAGCUUGUCACCGGUAUUGGAAAAACUGUGUGUAAAGUGAACACUUGUUUCUCUGUGAGAGAGGUUCUCUAUGUACAGUAUGUAUGCAUCCUUCAUCUCUUCCUUGAAGUAACCACAUAUCAGAGAUAGGUGCAUAGGUGAACACAGUAGGAUAGAGGUUAAAGCAGUAGAAUAGGUGAACACGGUAGGGUAGAGGAUAGGUGAACACGGUAGUAUAGAGGUUAAAGCAGUAGGAUAGGUGAACACAGUAGGAUAGAGGAUAGGUGAACACAGUAGCAUAGAGGAUAAGUGAACACAGUAGGAUAGAGGAUAGGUGAACACAGUAGGAGAGAGGAUAGGUGAACACAGUAGGAUAGAGGAUAGGUGAACACAGUAGGAGAGAGGAUAGGUGAACACAGUAGGAGAGAGGAUAGGUGAACACAGUAGGAGAGAGGAUAGGUGAACACAGUAGGAGAGAGGAUAGGUGAACACAGUAGGAGAGAGGAUAGGUGAACGUAGUAGGAGAGAGGAUAGGUGAACACAGUAGGAGAGAGGAUAAGUGAACACAGUAGGAGAGAGGAUAGGUGAACGUAGUAGGAGAGAGGAUAGGUGAACACAGUAGGAGAGAGGAUAGGUGAACACAGUAGGAGAGAGGAUAGGUGAACACAGUAGGAGAGAGGAUAGGUGAACACAGUAGGAGAGAGGAUAGGUGAACACAGUAGGAGAGAGGAUAGGUGAACGUAGUAGGAGAGAGGAUAGGUGAACACAGUAGGAGAGAGGAUAGGUGAACACAGUAGGAGAGAGGAUAGGUGAACACAGUAGGAGAGAGGAUAGGUGAACACAGUAGGAGAGAGGAUAGCUGAACACAGUAGGAGAGAGGAUAGGUGAACACAGUAGGAGAGAGGCUUUGCCACCUUGCUCUCACUUAUACAAUCAUCAUACAGAUCAGUGGUUUCCUCAAGGAAGGGAAAAAGAAAUACAAUUGAUGUGAAGGAUAGAAUUGAAUCACUCAAACAGGGAGUGGAUGACUAAGACCAACACUCUGCACAUUAAUUGAAGAAUA